rnacentral:rRNA from 1 species
AUGAGGAGGUUCUUGAUUGAUAGAGUAAGCACUGAAAAUGAGAAUGGUGUGCAAUCAGAAAUAGAAGUGGAGGCACAACCACCUCCUGACAUUGGCAAUGAAUUUAAUCCAAAUGAUAUUGAGCAUGAUCCAGGAAAGAGGAAAAAUUGUGAGUAUCCUCCUAAUAUUCAAGAUCAAAUGAGAAGAGCAUAUGUAUUGAAGGGUCCAAUGCAACCAGAUUUGAAUAAAUUUCCUCGUACUGAAUUUGGAAGUUCAUGUUCAUCAAGAGCAUUUUCUAAAUCUUGGUACAAAAAGCAUUCAUGGAUUGAAUACAGUGAGUGGAGGAAGGCAGCUUAUUGUUUUUAUUGCUUUCUCUUUAAGCAACCUAGAAUGCCUGAGCACUUUGGUUAUGAUGUAUUCACCAAAGAAGGAUUCACUGAUUGGAAGCAUGCAUCUAAAGCCUUCAAAGAUCAUAUUGGUGGACCUGGUAGUAAGCACAAUUGUUGCGUCAAGCAUUAUGAUGAUUAUAAUAAUCAGAGACAAAGUGUGGCAAGCAAUUUUGCUAGAACAAACAAGGAAUCAGAAGAAAUGUAUAAGAUCCGCUUGACUUGUUAUGUAAGUUGUUCAAGAUAUAUCAUCGCACAAGGCUUGGCUUUCCGUGGACAUGAUGAAUCCUCUACUUCUCUGAACAAGGGUGUGAAGCCCCCGAUUCAAUCAUACACUAAUCAUGCACGCAAACGUGUACGAUCAAGAUCAGGGACUCACGGGAAGAUAUCACAACACAACUCUAAAAACAUAAAUAAGUCAUACAAGCAUCAUAUUACAAGCCAGGGGCCUCGAGGGCUCGAAUACAAGUGCUCGAUCAUAGACGAGUCAGCGGAAGCAACAAAAUCUGAGUACAGACAUAAGUUAAACAAGUUGCCAUAA